AUAUGAAGAGAAGUCCUCAUUGCUGCAGUCAUCUAGAUUACACGGGGGUUGAGAGGAAGGGUGGCCCUGAAAUGGUACUGAAGCACAAGUAAUGGUGAAAAAGAGAUAAAACCAUCCCAGCUAAGCUACUCACCUGGCAAGUACUGUGUUCCCAAGAAAGCCACAGAAAUGUCUUGAAGAAAGCAACGUAACCACUUUAGUGCUGGUGGUUUGGUGAACCUCACAGGGCGGCCUGCAGUCGGAUGUCAGCCAUACUUUCCAAACAACACGAGGACUGGUCAGUGGUUUGAGAUGAAAUGCAGCCAGGCUUGCUCUUUGGCUCCAGGAUGAAUAUACAGCCCUGGGUGUUAUGCUUUUUGACAUCUAAAGAAGCAAGCCUUUCCUAUCAAAUCCAAACAAACUCCUAUCUUUGAGAAAGAACCGUCUUUAUUUUCAGUACCUGGGCAGCCUUAAGCGAUCUUCUCUGUCUUCCACCUACAUCCCACCCCUUGCUAUAAACAGCCUGCUGGAACUUGAAGAAAAUUUUUGUGCCAAAGCAGCAUCAGAGAGACUCAGCCUCAGCAAGAUCCCUUAUGCAAUAUUCGGGGACCAUAUAUUUUCUUAAUACUGACCCGCUUUUAGUUCUUUACGUGCUUCUGCAUGUUCUCUUAACCACUCUGCUCUGUAAAUGAUGGUAAAGCCUUGGGUCACAACCGAUUAUGAAGUUUACGGUCCUUGCUAUGCUUUAAAAUCCUGCCUUCCUUUUCUUCGCCGCAGUAACAGCAGCAACUUCUGAUUAUAGGAAAUUACUAUGAAUGCUAUGGCUAAGGUGAUCUCAAUGCCAGCCUUAAAAGAAAACGCAGGUUUACCCAGCUGUGAAGAUGACACAGUGUGCCAAUAAGGACCACCUCUGAGACUGCAGGAUCUUGAAGGUUUAAAGGCCAUUCAGAUGAGACAGGACCAGUAGCCGGUAGAAGUAUCAGACCGUCAGUAUGUGAAAAGCA
ensembl:lncRNA